rnacentral:rRNA from 1 species
GUCAAAGUUGGCAUGUGAUACCUUUUCGGAAAGCCCAAAGAGAGCCCUCCGACGAUAGAAGGCAGGACAAUGGGACUUUUCCAUUGACUUUUUGUCGACUCCACAUUUUGACCUUUAAGUACUUUUUUGGGCAUUUUCGUGAUUUGUGCUAUAUUACGGACCCAAAAUUACUCUUUCAAGCAUUGUUUUCGAAUAUUUUUCAUGCAUCAAAGCUCGUUAAGACUAGAUGGGGUAUCCCUACAUGGCGGGUGGGACCCACGGCGAACGGUUCAUCAAGACUUAAAAAAAGAAUAUAUACGAUUGCAUUGCAUAUACUAACGGAUGCGAUCAUACCAGCACUAAUACACCGGAUCCCAUCAGAACUCCGCAGUUAAGCGUGCUUGGGCGAGAGUAGUACUAGGAUGGGUGACCUCCCGGGAAGUCCUCGUGUUGCAUCCCUUCUUUUUUUUUUUUUUUUUUUGGUUAAA